rnacentral:rRNA from 1 species
GAGGAGCGGCGCAAGGGAGAGUAACGCGUGGAUACCUGCCCCGAGGUCCGGGAUAGCCCAUCGAAAGGUGGGGUAAUACCGGAUAACAUCUCCGGAUCAAAGGUGUGAUUCCGCCUCGGGAUGGAUCCGCGUCCUAUUAGCUUGUUGGUGGGGUAAUGGCCUACCAAGGCGACGAUGGGUAGUGGGCGUUAGCGCGUGGCCCGCCUCACUGGGACUGAGACACUGCCCAGACACCUACGGGUGGCUGCAGUCGAGAAUCUUCGGCAAUGGGCGCAAGCCUGACCGAGCGACGCCGCGUGCGGGAUGAAGGCCUUCGGGUUGUAAACCGCUGUCAGAGGGGAGGAAGGGUCCGUGAAGAGCGGAACUUGACCUAUCCUCAGAGGAAGUGCGGGCUAAGUUCGUGCCAGCAGCCGCGGUAAGACGAACCGCACAAACGUUAUUCGGAAUCACUGGGCUUAAAGGGUGCGUAGGCGGCCGUUCAAGUCGGGUGUGAAAGCCCUCAGCUUAACUGAGGAAUUGCGCCCGAUACUGUUCGGCUUGAGGGAGACAGAGGUGAGCGGAACUUGCGGUGGAGCGGUGAAAUGCGUUGAUAUCGCAAGGGAACACCAGUAGCGAAAGCGGCUCACUGGGUCUCUUCUGACGCUGAGGCACGAAAGCUAGGGUAGCGAAGAGGAUUAGAUACCCUCGUAGUCCUAGCUGUAAACGCUGAGCACUGGAUUGGAGGGUCCUCCAUAGCCUUCCGGUCGUAGCGAAAGUGUUAAGUGCUCCGCCUGGGGAGUAUGUUCGCAAGGCUGAAACUCAAAGGAAUUGACGGGGGCUCACACAAGCGGUGGAGGAUGUGGCUUAAUUCGAGGCUACGCGAAGAACCUUAUCCUGGAUUUGACAUGCUUGGGAAUCCCCUGGAAACAGGGGAGUGCCCCUCGGGGAGCCCUUGCACAGGUGCUGCAUGGCUGUCGUCAGCUCGUGUCGUGAGAUGUCGGGUUAAGUCCCUUAACGAGCGAAACCCUUGUCGUUAGUUGCCAGCGGGUCAUGCCGGGGACUCUAACGAGACUGCCGGUGUUAAACCGGAGGAAGGUGGGGAUGACGUCAAGUCCUCAUGGCCUUUAUGUCCAGGGCUGCACACGUCCUACAAUGGUGCGUACAAAGGGAAGCAUACUCGCGAGAGUAAGCAAAUCCCAAAAAGCGCGCCCCAGUUCGAAUUGCAGGCUGCAACUCGCCUGCAUGAAGCCGGAAUCGCUAGUAAUCGCGGGUCAGCAUACCGCGGUGAAUGUGUUCCUGAGCCUUGUACACACCGCCCGUCAAGCCACGAAAGUGGG